CGGCAGUAGGUUCCCCAGCUUCUACGGACACCACAAAAAUAAGAGUCUGAUAGACAGGACAAGAGUGAGCACAAAGGAGUGCUAGUACCACCCUCACUUACUGGACUUUGUCCCUGUCUGUGCUUCAGCUUGGACAAAGAGGAUGCUGCUGCCACACAGGUCCAUGUUCUGGACGGGAUUAAGGGAAUCCAGCUUCAUAGCCAUGACCAGGAUGAACAUCAUCGCAGAAUCUUUAAUAUGUCAGAUGCUGAAGGAUUUUAUACUGAAUGUUCUCUCGUGUUUUAUGCUUCAUUUUUAUUUAAUAGGAUUUGGUCUGUGGAAAAGGCCUUUAAUAUAUUAUUAAAACUGUACGUAUGUAGUUUUCCCCAUAAAACAAAUAUAAGAGCAACUAUCUUUAUAAGAUUCAUGUAAUUUCGACAUCCUUUCAUAUAAA